AUCGAACGCUGGCGGCAUGCCUUACACAUGCAAGUCGAACGGCAGCACGGGUGCUUGCACCUGGUGGCGAGUGGCGAACGGGUGAGUAAUACAUCGGAACGUACCUUAUCGUGGGGGAUAACGCAGCGAAAGUUGCGCUAAUACUGCAUACGCCCUGAGGGGGAAAGCGGGGGACCGUAAGGCCUCGCGCGAUUAGAGCGGCCGAUGUCUGAUUAGCUUGUUGGUGAGGUAAAAGCUCACCAAGGCGAUGAUCAGUAGCUGGUCUGAGAGGACGAUCAGGCACACUGGGACUGAGACACGGCCCAGACUCCUACGGGGGGCAGCAGUGGGGAAUUUUGGACAAUGGGGGCAACCCUGAUCCAGCAAUGCCGCGUGAGUGAAGAAGGCCUUCGGGUUGUAAAGCUCUUUUGUCAGGGAAGAAACAGCAGCUCUAACACAGUCUGCGAAUGACGGUACCUGAAGAAUAAGCACCGGCUAACUACGUGCCAGCCGCCGCCGUAA
rnacentral:rRNA from 1 species